UGGAAAGUGUGGGUGGCCUUUGGAGCACGUUGGGUACAGCUGUGUCACCACCAUGGAUGUGAGGUCAGGGCAAGCUGCUCCUCGGGCUGGAAAAGCUGCUGUGUGUUGGUGAAGCCCUUGGAAAUCUCAGCAUCUGUGCUCUGGAACGUUGGAGCAGUUGGGUGCUGGGUGUGAAAUAGAAGCUGGGGUGCUCUGGGUGGUAACUGUGAGUCUUUCUGAUGCCUCAGGUGCUGACCCUGUCCCAGGUCCUGCCAGGGAGGGAGCUGUGCUUGGGAGCAGGCCUUGCAGAUGUGCUUGAUGAGGUCAGGGGAGAGCUCACAACUGGAUGUUGCAUUUCCUUAAGAGCUGUGUCCCAGAUGAUACUCGGAGAGGGAGCUCUCCCCAGACUGUGUUAAAAGCACAAGAACUGAGGAUUCUUUUCAAUGCGGG